AAUACUCCUAUUAUACUUUUACCAACUUCUCCAAUUGAAAACUUACCAUCGCAUUUCGUCGAACCCCAUCAAUAAUACUGAUCCUUUGCCCAUGAUUAGCGUUCUUGCUCAGGAGCGUCGGCGCUGGGGAGCGUUGCAGCUGAAAUCGCGUUUUUCGAGCAUCGUAAAAGCAUCUAUAAAUCAAUUUCUGAUGCACAAAAUCCGGUGAUUUUUCUUGUUUCUUUGUUUUCGCUUUCUUUCCUUCCUCUUUGUUGGUUAAGUUAUCUUUCUUUGUUUCGUUGAUUCUUCACCUCUUCCAACUGAUAUCUCCUUCUUCAUUAAUCUAGCAUUAUGUGAAAUUGAUGAAGGAAUCCAUGGAAUUGGUAAUAUUUUGGUAAAAUCAGGGCUGAACUUUGAAUAUGCUUUGAACUUCCUUGCGUUUUAUCUGUCUCGGUAGCACUCCAGACCACUUUAGUUUCAAAAGUUUAUGACCUCUCGUAAUCGACAAUAAAGAAAUCGUGAUAUAAUGACUUCAAACAUUUCAAACUUAUUUUUCUGCUUUCUGAUAUAAAAAGUGCAUCUCUUCUUACUGUAUAAUAAAAACUCUACAUUUUGAAAAAAAAAAUAAGCCAAGAGAAGCCAUAUUUGGAAGAAGCUCCCGUCUAGAGUUUGCUCGGAUAUGGAACAAGUCUGUGGACAAGACUCUGCGACCUGUCAUUGAGUCUCUUAGCUCAAAUGGAUGGUAGGAUUGUUCUUAUAACCAGAUCACUCUUACGAGGGCUAAUUUAUUUUUACACGAUCGUGCUUACAGUGGCCUUAUGAUUAGUACUUUUCUGUUUUAGAUUCAUCAGGCGGAACUGGGCCUUUCUUGGUGACAAACAAUACUCAGUUCUUGUCAAUAAACAGAACCAGCUUUGACUGAUAAUAAUAAACUGAAUAUUUUCGAAUACUUGUGAGUUAUCAUUAGACCGUCAGACGCUAUUCUAGAAUCUUAAUAUCUUUGACUUGAUUUGUUAGGUUGGUGAUGCACUGGUUGUAGCAUGUAGAAUGUGCUUAUUAUUUUUCCAAUGUAAGAUCCUACCGUUGUGAUUGCAUCUGUUCUUCUCAUGAAUAACGUGCAAGUCAUGUAAACCAACUCUACUAUCAGUCACUAAAUUAAAUUGAAUGAACCAAAUGCAUGAUGAAAUAAACAACUAACUCUACUAGAUAAAAAGUGGGAAAUAAGUAUGGAGAGAGAGAGAGAGAAAACAAGUGUCUAGACUGCAGUGCAUCCCAGAACAGAGACAACGGGCGAGUUACAUAUGCUCUAACCACAUCCUCACACCACUUGUGUAACCACAUUACACAUCUGGUUCAAGACCGUAUUUGGCUCUCUCUGCAUUGACUUGCCUCUUAAAUAUGACAUAAUAAAUUCCUGCUGUGAAGAGGAUAGCAAAAAUGAAGCCUACAGGAAUCCCAGCAAUGCCACCAGCUGCAAUAGCUCUCCGAGCUGUGGAUCUCUCGUGAGCUGAAGUGGACUGCCCGGUUGCAGCUAGAGGCAGUGAAGAACAAUCUGGUAAAUUACACAGGUUUGUGUUUGGCCGUUGUGUGUUGGGGUGCAAGUAUGCGUACAUUUCAGGGGAGAGCACGAUAGGGCUGUUAUGGUCCUCGAGGCCAUGAGCUCGAAAUUCAGCUGUGGAAACUGAGAGGAAGAAAAGAAUGGCAAAUAUGAGAGAAGAGGCCAUUUGAUCAGGUUAGAUGAUGUCUCUCACGUUUUCUAUGAGUAAGUAGUGUUUGCCUGUUUGAAUAUGGACUUGUGCUUUAUAUAGGGUGCAAUACAAUGAGGAAAUUGUUGCUUGUAGUCGAAUCUAGUCUUCGAGUUGGCUCAAGGGAUAUACACAUUUAUCAUAUUCAUAAUUACUUUAUUCAUCCUUCAUUAUUUAUAAUCAUGAUACAAAGGAUUAAUGA